rnacentral:misc_RNA from 1 species
GAAAGUUACUGCCUCCAAUUGCCUCCAAUUACAUGUUCUAAAAAUAAAAUGCUUAAUUAGUAACAUUAAUAUAUAGAUAAAUGUAGCAUUCCCUGCACUAUAUUUAUUCAUUUCCUAUAUAUAUUUUAAAUUUUGAGCCGAGUUUUUACAGAGCAAGGAAACAUAAAUGAAACAUAUCAUUUAUUGGAAUUUAAAUUGGCUAAAUAAAAGGAUUUUGAUUUUGUGGUUACAUCUUG